rnacentral:rRNA from 1 species
GACGAACGCUGGCGGCGUGCUUAACACAUGCAAGUCGAACGGACAGACAGAGAGCUUGCUCUCUUGAAGUUAGUGGCGAACGGGUGAGUAACGCGUAAUCACCCUGCCCUUCAGAGGGGGAUAACAACGGGAAACCGUUGCUAAUACCGCGUACGAUUCAUGAACGGCAUCGUUUAUGAAUGAAAGGUGGCCUCUAUGUAUAAGCUAUCGCUGAUGGAGGGGAUUGCGUCUGAUUAGCUAGUCGGAGGGGUAACGGCCCACCAAGGCAAUGAUCAGUAGCCGGUCUGAGAGGAUGAACGGCCACAUUGGGACUGAGACACGGCCCAAACUCCGACGGGAGGCAGCAGUGGGGAAUCUUCCGCAAUGGACGAAAGUCUGACGGAGCAACGCCGCGUGAGUGAUGAAGGUCUUCGGAUUGUAAAGCUCUGUUAAUCGGGACGAAAGAGUUCUGCGUGAAUAAUGCAGAAAAGUGACGGUACCGGAAUAGAAAGCCACGGCUAACUACGUGCCAGCCGCCGCCGUAA